CAGACUGAUUCGUUCAAAAACUCCAUAAGACAUACAAGAUAAGUAAUUCCUUUUUAAUGUAACUUAAAAUUAGUAAAUACAAAUUUUAGAUAAACAAUAACAUGAAUAACCUCUACUACAUGAAGAACCUCUACUUGCAGAGUUCCGUUGUUCAAAAUUCUGUUGAUAGCCUAGCGGCACAGUACCAGGACAACAUAUCCCACAAAGUACACCACCUUCUCAAGGUAAAACACGUAGGACAAAUGCACAACACUGAUGAGCAGUAUUUCUCAACCUUUUUUGGCCUGCAGACCGGUAAAAUUUGUGAAAAAAAUUUCAC
rnacentral:lncRNA from 1 species